AAUGAACGCUGGCGGCGCGCCUAAUACAUGCAAGUCGAGCGAGAAGACGUAGCAAUACGUUUGUAAAGCGGCGAACGGGUGAGGAAUACAUGGGUAACCUACCCUCGAGUGGGGAAUAACUAGCCGAAAGGUUAGCUAAUACCGCGUACGCUCCUUGGACUUCGGUUCAGGGAGGAAAGCGAUACCGUGGGUAUCGCGCUCUUGGUUGGGCUCAUGUCCUAUCAGCUUGUUGGUGAGGAACGGCUCACCAAGGCUUCGACGGGUAGCUGGUCUGAGAGGACGAUCAGCCACACUGGCACUGCGACACGGGCCAGACUCCUACGGGAGGCAGCAGUAAGGAAUAUUGCGCAAUGGGCGAAAGCCUGACGCAGCGACGCCGCGUGGGGGAUGAAGGUC
rnacentral:rRNA from 1 species